GGUUUUGAGAAAUAAAA
rnacentral:sRNA from 1 species